AUUGAACGCUGGCGGCAGGCCUAACACAUGCAAGUCGAGCGGAGCGGCGGACGGGCGAGUAAUGCCUAGGAAUCUGCCUGGUAGUGGGGGAUAACGUCCGGAAACGGGCGCUAAUACCGCAUACUAUCAGAUGAGCCUAGGUCGGAUUAGCUAGUGGGUGGGGUAAAGGCCUACCAGGGCGACGAUCCGUAACUGGUCUGAGAGGAUGAUCAGUCACACUGGAACUGAGACACGGCCCAGAGUCCUACGGAAGGCAGCAGUGGGGAAUCUUGGGCAAUGGGCGAAAGCCUGAUGCAGCCAUGCCGCGUGUGUGAAGAAGGUCUUCGGAUUGUAAAGCACUGUAGGUUGGGAGGCGUUACCAACAGAAUAAGCACCGGCUAACUUCGUGCCAGCAGCCGCGGUAAUAC
rnacentral:rRNA from 1 species